rnacentral:tRNA from 1 species
GGGCGUGUAGCUCAGUGGUAGAGCUCUGGUUUUACACACCAGCGGUCGCAAGUUCGAUCCUUGUCGCGCCCACCA